CCACAACAAAAUUCUCUGGAUCUAUUUUGAAAAUAUCCCCUCCUGUGAGCUGACUUCUAAUGCUGUUCACCUGGAGCAGCCAAUUGAUAGAGUCAGUGGAUGUAGGAAAUACGAUCCACAUGUGUGAAGUGAAGGAAUGCCUCAAAUUGCAACAGGCAGCUGAGCAGACCUGAGUGAAGGCUUUCAGCUGCAAGGCCAACUGAAAACCUGCCCCCAAACAAACCCAAGGAGUUUAAUAGCUACUGCGGAGACUGCAAUUGGAUGCAAAUUUUGGGGCUGGCUUUUCACUGAUGAGACAGCGAGCCCCAGGUCAGAUGUAUGCCCAGUUCACGUGAGUUAGGAGAAGAGUGGGAGAGGAAAUUAUGUUAUCACAAUUGCAAAAGCUUGGGAGAAAAAUUAUUACAGAGAGCCUGGUGAGAUUGGCAUUAAUUCUCAGGACGUUGCAGUGCAGCACAGCUGUUUUUAGGAAUGGGCUUCCCAGAGCACCCAAUCUCAACAGACCACCUUGAAUGCUACUUGGAAGGGGAAGGAAGCACUGAACUGCAAAAUAACCUGAGUGGCUUCCUCAUCCCACUUUGUCAAGAGUUCUCUGAAAAAGGAAAUGAAGACUUAUUGGUUCCUAACUUCACAAGUCCUUUGGAAACAGAAAUGGCUUACAAAGGGAAGCAGGGCUUCUCAGAGAGGCUGCUACAAGAAGUCAGGCUGAUGUUUUAACUCAAGUCCAGAAGCAUCAGCCCUGACGCAGAUUGGAGUGGAAAGUUCUCCUCUUAGAAAAAUUGAAAUAAGAGGGUGGUUUCGCUCUGUGUGCUGCUUGGGCCAGGCAGCUAUCAUUACUGACUUUCAGUCCUCGGUUCAACACAUGCUUAGACCUCUAGCUCAGAAAUUGCGUGUCCUUUUCCCAUGCAGAGAGGAAAAAGACAGCUCAGGUCCUCCUGCACUGUGUGCAUGGUGAGCAGCACAGCCCCUUGCUGGCAGCUGCUCAGUGUGAGCUGCCUCUUGUGCAACACCUGGGCAGUCCCAGGUGCAGACAAACAGGGUUGUGAAGCGCAGUGCUCACAGAACUCUUCCCUCCUUCCUUGUGAAACUCCCUCCUCCAAGCUACUGAAAUCCUGGGAUAAUAAUUAACUGAAUUAAAACUUGCUCUGUAAUCACAGCCAUGUGCACUCUUCUGGGUGCGUUUGAGUUAGAAAUGUUUGCAUUUUAAGGCUCUUUCCAUAUGAUGAUCUUGCAGCACUUUGCAUACAUUCACUCAUUUGUUUUCAUGUUGUGCUUUGUGUUUUAUUUUCGGUUGGAGGGAUGACAAGCUGCUUUUCAGGGUGUCCUUUGAAAGACACACAGGAAAAUUAAUCUCAUUACCUUAAACAGGGAAUAUAAAAACGAUUUAAAUUGAAGAUUUGGGGGCCUAUUCCUUCCGAGCAAGAACACUAAUCCCCCAGGUUAAGCUCAAUAAAUGGGCAGGGCAUCAGGAGGUGAGACCAGUGUGGAGACCAGUCUGCCUGGAAAGGUGGUGAGACCUCCAUGGCCACAGGCAGUGGUGGACAAGUGUGACACAGUUUGACCACUGCUGGGAAAAGUGACAGCACCCAUUGCAGCUGCUUGUGAUGGCUCUAAAGCAGUAACAUAGAAGGGAUUGAGCAGAGAAAAACCCAGACUUCUGAUCCAGACUGGAAAGUCCUGUUUGGAGAAUUGGACAAGCACAUGGCCUUGAGAAAAGCUGAGCACUAAAGUGAGGGGGAAGGAGGGAAGUCAGACCUCCAGGGAAGGGGUGGUUUUCUUUCAAGCUGUCUGGACUUUAGUUUCUUACACUAAAACCACGUUAAAUGUAACAGCUUUUGGUUCUGAUGUGUAGGCUUCAGAGAGCUGUAGCUGGCUCUUGGAGAUGAGCAGCCUCAGUUCCUG